rnacentral:rRNA from 1 species
UACGAAGGGGGCUAGCGUUGUUCGGAAUCACUGGGCGUAAAGCGCACGUAGGCGGACUCUUAAGUCGGUGGUGAAAUCCUGGAGCUCAACUCCAGAACUGCCUUCGAUACUGAGAGUCUUGAGUCCGGGAGAGGUGAGUGGAACUGCGAGUGUAGAGGUGAAAUUCGUAGAUAUUCGCAAGAACACCAGUGGCGAAGGCGGCGCACUGGCCCGGUACUGACGCUGAGGUGCGAAAGCGUGGGGAGCAAACAGG